AAAGUCGUUUAUAAUUACUGCUCAUUUCAAAAUCCCAACCCGACAAAAUGCACAAAAUUGCAAAUAGAACUAUUGAAAAGGUUUUGCAUUAAUGUGUGGUGACUUUUUUUCUUCUUCAAAUAGCUAUUGUUGCAGUUGUGAAUAAGAAUAAAUCACUAGUUCACUAGUCUAUUGUCUUAGCUUCUCUAGGACGCUGUAUCAAUGUUCUUGUAUGUAUAGACAACAGUUUAAAGCAUUCCAAUCUGUGUUACUACUGAUCUAAUCAGUCGGGCUAAGAAGCUCCUCCACCCCUCUUUCACUACUCUGCAAUGUGAAGCAUGAGGAACUUCUGUGAAGUCCACACGUAGCCUAAUCCACUCCCAUUUAUUUGGCUUUCAGUCACAAUUGCUGAGGUAUCCAACCAAAGUGUGUACUGCAUUGUUAAUAUGUCGCACGUCAUGCAAAUGGUUAAAGGUCGAAGGGAAAAUAUUUAAUUUCCAAGCCGUAGAAGACCCAACCGCAAUGCUUUGGAAACGUGAUAAAGAGUUUGUUUUAGAACGUUAAGGAGCAAGCAUCAUCAAAUAAAACAGCACUUCCAACAUCGGACAACCAGGCAAGGCCUACCUUCCACGUGAGGAUCAAUCUGAAAGAUUUCCAAAUGAAUACAACCAUCUUCAAGACACAGCCUGGAUGGAGCCUGCAGCCACAAAGUCGGGUCCCAGACAACAAAACCACACUGAUAAAAAUUCAGCAAGACCACUGGCAGCACCAACUAUCCCCCUGAUAUCAACAAGCGAACCCAACAUAAAUCAAUCUGCUGCUCAACAUAAUAAAUAAAC